rnacentral:rRNA from 1 species
UACAGAGGUCUCAAGCGUUGUUCGGAUUCAUUGGGCGUAAAGGGUGUGUAGGUGGCGCCGUAAGUCGGGUGUGAAAUUUCGGAGCUUAACUCCGAAACUGCAUUCGAUACUGCGGUGCUUGAGGACUGGAGAGGAGACUGGAAUUCAUGGUGUAGCAGUGAAAUGCGUAGAUAUCGGGAGGAACACCAGUGGCGAAGGCGACUAUCUGGGCUGAAACUGACGCUGAGGCGCGAAGGCUAGGGGAGCAAACAGG